rnacentral:rRNA from 1 species
GACGAACGCUGGCGGCGUGCUUAACACAUGCAAGUCGAGCGGUAAGGCCCUUUCGGGGGUACACGAGCGGCGAACGGGUGAGUAACACGUGGGUGACCUGCCCUUAGCUCUGGGAUAAGCCUGGGAAACUGGGUCUAAUACCGGAUAUGACUCCAUGACGCAUGUUGUGAGGUGGAAAGCCUUGUGCGGCUAGGGAUGGGCCCGCGGCCUAUCAGCUUGUUGGUGGGGUGAUGGCCACCAAGGCGACGACGGGUAGCCGGCCUGAGAGGGCGACCGGCCACACUGGGACUGAGACACGGCCCAGACUCCUACGGGAGGCAGCAGUGGGGAAUCUUGCGCAAUGGGCGAAAGCCUGACGCAGCGACGCCGCGUGAGGGAUGACGGCCU